CGGGUUCCUGUUUGCGGGUGUUUUUAUUUCUGGCAUAAAAGUUUAGACAUCGUCCACAACAAACGGUUUGCAAUUUGCAGAACAUGUGGAUUAAAGGAUUACUCACAGAGAUUCAACAACAACCAACUUCAUCUGACUGUAGGAGCAGCAACAUCAAAAAGGCUGUGAGCUGGAGCUGAUUCUGAUGUCAGAGACCCAAGCCGUGCACCACAUGAACAACAGUGGAAGACAGAUGCAGAACCUGAUGAUGGAGACCCUCAUCCACUAAGGUUCAACCCCAGACACAUCCCAGACGCAGGACAACACGAACACACUGCGGCUGUGCGGGCGAGCCUUUCUGCGGGCGCUGGUGUACACCUGCGGAGGGUCCAGAUGGAGACGACUGAUGGAACCGGAGGAGACCUUGUCGGCUGAAGUACUCUCAGCAUC